CCCUUAGAUGUUCUGGGCUGCACGCGCACUACACUGAUGCAUUCAACAAGCCUAGCCUUGACCGAGAGGUCCGGGUAAUCUUUGAAACUGCAUCGUGAUGGGGCUAGAUUAUUGCAAUUAUUAAUCUUCAACGAGGAAUGCCUAGUAAGCGUGAUUCAUCAAAUCGCGUUGAUUACGUCCCUGCCCUUUGUACACACCGCCCGUCGCUCCUACCGAUUGAAUGUGUUGGUGAGGAGCUCGGAUUGGCAGCAGUUGGUGGUUCGCCACCGGCUAUUGCUGAGAAGUCCUCCAAACCGCCCCAUUUAGAGGAAGGAGAAGUCGUAACA
rnacentral:rRNA from 1 species